rnacentral:lncRNA from 1 species
CCUGCCUUGGCCCAGUAUUUUCAUAUAAUAUAUUAAUCUCUGGUAAAGAUACGAAAUAAAUAAAUACUUGCUGGCCAUUUUGCCGUUUGUGAUUUUUAUGAAUUUAGUAUUAUCAGUUAAAAUAGUAAAUACUGAUUAUUCGUGUGUCCUUAGUUGUAAUUACUCGUUUAUUCAUUCCUCAAUUUUUCUCUUCAUUCAUUCCUUCUGUUUCCGACAGUCAUCUUACACAAUGCUAUAGGAGACAUGGAGAAACUUCAAAAAACUAACGAAUUAUUAAAAUAUAUGGUAACAGUAAUAAAGAUAAUAAAGGUUUUCAAAUUAUACCUAUACAAAUUAAUAUAAUAUUUACUAUCCAUUCCAGUGAAUUUUGGGUCAUAUUAGGAUACAAAUAAAUCAUUAUAUUAGGUUUAGAUUGGUGAAAAAAAAUUGCACACCUCCUUAUUUUAUUUUUCAUGAUCAGUAUGUCUUCAAACAACUAAUUUUUAUUGUGGAAGAUUUGUUUCGAUUUAUAUUUUGGCUUUUUUCUUAAAUUAAUAAUCUUAAAAAUUAUUUUUAGUUCAUUUAAUGUAACAAAAACGAGGCCAAGAGGAAGACCUCGCCAGAGAUGGCUUUACAGGGUAAAGAAGGAUAUUUUAAAUACUGACAACUCAAAACGAUUAGAUGACGCAAUGGACCGGAAUGGAUGGAAAAACUUGGUGGAAGCAUGCAAAAGACCUUAAAGGCCUAUAUAGCAUAAUAAAAAAAAAAAAUGUAACAAAUUAUAAUAUAUGUAGUACCUAAAUUUUUUUUUUUUUUUUUUUUUAUGAUAAAGUAACCAUUCAACACAAAAAAUUUGAUAAUUUUUCUGUUGGGAGAUUAUGGAAGCAAAAAAUUAUCCUUCCAUAAGCCAAAUUAUUGAUUUUUUUUAUUUUAUAAGUGUAUAGUAUAUUGUUAAAUCUACAAAUGAAAACGACCUACUUUAUCAUAUAUUUCAUGGUACAUUACUGUCUGUUGACACAAAAGUAUAAUUGAACCUAUGAUUUUUUUUUGACUCUUAUUAUCUGUCUAUAUUUAUAAAAUUGUUUUUGUUUUAGCAAAUCUAAUUUAAUUUGAAUGUCAUUUGUGAUGAUUCACCAUUGUGUUUUCUCCUCAAAAGAAUUGAUUGUUAAAAACAUAUACAUUAUAAUGUUGCCCAAAAUUUAAGUAAUUACUGUUGUCUACUAUAAAUUAUCUUAGUAAUGAUAUAUAUUAUAGACUAUUUUAUUUUCUUUGAGGUCCAGUUAAAAUUGGUACUUCUAACCCAAUAUUGUGUAACUAGUAUUAGGUAGUAGUACUACUAUAUAAUUAUAUAUAUGUACAAAUUCAAAUACAUAUUUAGGAGGCUCAAAAUAAAAAAAAAACUUGCAAAGAUAUUGUAUUCAUUUAUUUUCUUUUUUUUCUCUUUUUCAAAAAUUGUGAUUAUUUUAUAAAUCACUAAUAGUUUUGGAAUCUGUUCAAAAUAUUGUGUCUGAUCAAAUUGCUUUGACUUCAAAUGUGCAAAUCAAUGUAUAUACCCCCUCUAUAUGAAACUAUAUGUAUACUAUAAUAUUAAUUAGUAAAAGAUGAUUAUAAUGUGUAUUUGUUUAAAAACAAAAUGCUUAAUAAAUAUUAUUGAAUAUUUUUUAAUUUUUGCAGCAAGAAAACUUACUAUGAAACCAAGAAAAUUGUCUACUCUUUUGAAACGGGUAGAGGAAUACCCAUUAAUUUUUGUACGGAACUAAUGGAUAACAUCCUGCCGUCCCACAUUAAAUGUGAGGUCAAGAAUUGGUAAAUUUACCCCAAUAUGGAGUCAUAGCUUUCCAUACAGCUGAUCCAAAUGAGUCACCUAACCUGUUAUAGCUUAUUGGUUGUCUCUCCACUCCCAAGGAAUAAAUAACAAAACCCGAAUCAGUGAAUCAUAAUAAUUGUAUAUAUUUGUAAAUUUGAAAUAUUUAGAAUUAUUACCUAGUUAGGUUAGGUGAACACUCUUAACAAAAAUUAUUUUUAAUAUUCUGUAAUAUUGUUUUGGAUAUUUUAAUGAUUUUAAAUGUAUGAAUGAAUAUUUAUUUUAUACAGUUUUAAACUUUAAGCACAUACUUUAUUCUGUUAAAAAUUUAUGCAAUCAAAUAGGUAUAUAAAAACUAUUAUACAUGUAUUAAUUCAACUAAUUGAUAAGAAAAGUUAAUUAAAUUGUGAUAGCUUGACUGUCUAAUAUUUUACUAUUUUAGUACCAC